AGAGUUGUAGCUCGGUGGUAGAGCACUUGCCUUGCAGGCAGAAGGUCCUUGGUUCAGUCUUCAGCAUCUUUG